rnacentral:rRNA from 1 species
UACAGAGGUCUCAAGCGUUGUUCGGAUUCAUUGGGCGUAAAGGGUGCGUAGGCGGCGCGGUAAGUCGGGUGUGAAAUCUCGGGGCUUAACUCCGAAACUGCAUUCGAUACUGCCGUGCUUGAGGACUGGAGAGGAGACUGGAAUUUACGGUGUAGCGGUGAAAUGCAUAGAUACAAUCAAGAACACCGAUUGCGUAGGCAGCUUACUAGGCUGUAACUGACGCUGAGGCACGAAAGCGUGGGGAGCGAACAGG